rnacentral:rRNA from 1 species
GGCGAGCGAACGGGGGAAGAGCCCAAACCAUUGCAGUGUCAAGGAUGUAGCCGUUGCUGUAAUGGGGUAGAGGGAUAACAGUCAGGAGAACUACAAGGUAUCCGACGUUAGUCAUGUAAGGUAGCAGAAUGGCAUGGGAAGGCCAAUCGUAGAAGGUGAGAAUCCUGUAUGCGAAACUUCAUGACGCGUUAUUGUUAAUCCCAAGUAGCACCGAACACGAGGAAUUUGGUGUGAAUCAGCGUGGACCAUAUCACGUAAGGCUAAAUACUCUUGCUGACCGAUAGCGCAUAGUACCGUGAGGGAAAGGUGAAAAGAACCCCGGGAGGGGAGUGAAAUAGAAUCUGAAACCGUACACUUACAAGCGGUCAGAGCCCUUUAUAUGGGUGAUGGCGUGCCUUUUGGAGAAUGAUCCUGCGAGUUACGAUCAAUGGCAAGGUUAAGUAAACCGGAGCCGUAGGGAAACCGAGUCUGAAUAGGGCGUUAAGUCGUUGGUCGUAGACGCGAAACCGGUGAUCUAUACCUGUCCAGGCUGAAGUCG